rnacentral:rRNA from 1 species
AUAAUCGUUGACCAGUACAGACUAUUCUUACGUGACAAGAUUUAUCGGCAAAGGAUGGGCCUGCGUCUGAUUAGCUAGUUGGUGGGGUAACGGGCCCACCAAGGCGACGAUCAGUAGCCGGACUGAGAGGUUGACCGGCCACAUUGGGACUGAGACACGGCCCAAACUCCUACGGGAGGCAGCAGUGGGGAAUAUUGCACAAUGGGCGAAAGCCUGAUGCAGCGACGCCGCGUGAGCGAAGAAGUAUUUCGGUAUGUAAAGCUCUAUCAGCAGGGAAGAAGAAUGACGGUACCUGACUAAGAAGCACCGGCUAAAUACGUG